rnacentral:lncRNA from 1 species
ACCAAAAUGGCACCAGGGGACACUGGGAUGGCACCAGGUGGCACCAGGAUGGCACCGAGAUGGCACCAGGUGACACCAAAAUGGCUCCAGGAUGGCACCAGGUGACAUCAGGGUGGCCCAGGACGUGGCCAGGCGACACCGAAAUGGCACCAAGAUGGCACCAAGAUGGACAGGUGACACUGGGAUGGCAGCAGGUGACACCAGGACAGACUGUGGGCACACGGUGCUGUCCCCAAGGAGCCACCACAGUGACACUGAGAUGUCCCCAAGGAGCCACCACAGUGGCACGAUGCUGUCCUCAAGGGCCACCACAAGGACAACGUGUCCCCAGGGGCCACCACGGUGGCACUGAGAUGUCCCCAAGGAGCCAUCGAGGUGACAGUGGUGUCUCCAAAGGCCACCACGGUGACACUGGGAUGUCCCCAAGGAGCCGCCACCAGCACAACGUGUCCCCAAGGGCCACUGUGGUGACAGUGGUGUCCCCAAGGAUCUGGGUUGGUGGCACCGUGUCCCCAAGGGUCACCACGGUGGCACUGAGAUGUCCCCAAGGAGCCACCACAAGGACAAUCUGUCCCCAAGGGCCACCAUGGUGACAAUAAAAUGUCCCCAAGGAGCCA